UGUAUAGAGUCUUCAACAAACAAAUAUUGAUUGUUGAAGAGUCUAUGCAUGUGGUGUUUGAUGAAUCUAACAACUCUUUCUCGAGAAAGGAAGAUGUGCUUUUGAUGAUGAUGCAAGGAUUCUUGAAAAUGGAGUAAAAGAACUCAGCUUGAAGGAGAAACUGAGUCAAGAAGAGAAAGAAGAAAAAGAUAAAGAGCAAAAAGAGGAUUCACAAAAAAAUAUCAAUAAAGAGCAAGGUGAUUUACCCAA
rnacentral:lncRNA from 1 species